ACCACUACUAAGUGCUGAUUCUGGGCCUGUUUAGCUCUGAACACCACACUCCUGGUAGAUGAACCAGCAGUCACUCUGUCUUUGAAUGUAGUAGCUCAGGUGGACCUCUCAAUUCUAGCGCUGAAAAGUAGGCGAGAAAGCUGCUCAAAGCACAAGUCCAUCAGAAUCCCCUGAGAGCAUAAAUGCCGUGUUGCAAACACUCACUGUGUGUUCACUACAAGUCAAAGAUGGCUGAGACGAAGUGUCCUCAUUACCAGCCUUACAAAGGUCGACCUGACCACGAAAAGAGGAAAACACCCAUACACAGCAAGAUUACGAGGCGUUACCACAGAAGAUGCACCUGAAGUCUGAACAGCCCAUGAUGACCCACAGACCCAGACAAGGCACUCAGAGGCAGCCCAGACUACGAACAUCCACGUGGCGACAGGGGCCGCGAACAUCAAUACAGACCCUGGAUGCGGCAGAAUCUCAGCCCCAGAGGUGGCCCUCAGCGACAGUUCUAACCCAGACAUCACCAUGGCUUCAGGUGACAAUGCAGGCCACUCACCUGGUCCUGCCCUGUAGUAUCUGCAGUCGUGACUCUGGCCACAGUGUACUCACAGCUCUGCUAGUCUAUCGUUCCCACCUCUCCAUCACGCAUUAAUUCAUUGGAGACAAGGCUGCCACCUGAGCUGUGAAGGUGGAGGCCUCAAAAACUAAUUUUUAAGGGUAAAAAUGUCAUACAAAUUGU
ensembl:lincRNA Gm1647 predicted gene 1647